rnacentral:rRNA from 1 species
AUUGGAGGGCAAGUCUGGUGCCAGCAGCCGCGGUAAUUCCAGCUCCAAUAGCGUAUAUUAAAGUUGUUGCAGUUAAAAAGCUCGUAGUUGGAUUUCUGUUAAUUGCUUUAUAUAAUUUAUGCUUUGCUGCAUAUUUAUAUAGUAUUAACAUAAUUCAUAUUACUAUAUUUUUCUAGUAUAUGAAACUUUACUUUGAGAAAAUUAGAGUGCUUAAAGCAGGCUUUUGCCUUGAAUACUUCAGCAUGGAAUAAUAAUAAAAGAUUUUUAUCUUUCUUUAUUGGUUCUAAGAUAGAAAUAAUGAUUAAUAGGGACAGUUGGGGGCAUUUGUAUUUAACAGUUAGAGGUGAAAUUCUUAGAUUUGUUAAAGACAAACUAGUGCGAAAGCAUUUGCCAAGGAUGUUUUCAUUAAUCAAGAACGAAAGUUAGGGGAUCGAAGACGAUCAGAUACCGUCGUAGUCUUAACCAUAAACUAUGCCAACUAGAGAUUGGAGGUUGUUCCUUACUCCUUCAGCACCUUAA